UACGUAGGGUCCGAGCGUUGUCCGGAAUUACUGGGCGUAAAGAGCUCGUAGGUGGUUUGUCGCGUUGUUCGUGAAAACUCACAGCUCAACUGUGGGCGUGCGGGCGAUACGGGCAGACUUGAGUUCGGUAGGGGAGACUGGAAUUCCUGGUGUAGCGGUGAAAUGCGCAGAUAUCAGGAGGAACACCGGUGGCGAAGGCGGGUCUCUGGGCCGAUACUGACGCUGAGGAGCGAAAGCGUGGGUAGCAAACAGG
rnacentral:rRNA from 1 species